rnacentral:rRNA from 1 species
AGCCUCGGAUCAGGUGGGGAUACCCGCUGAACUUAAGCAUAUCAAUAAGCGGAGGAAAAGAAACCAACAGGGAUUGCCUUAGUAACGGCGAGUGAAGCGGCAAUAGCUCAAAUUUGAAAUCUGGCGCCUUCGGCGUCCGAGUUGUAAUUUGUAGAGGAUGCUUCAGGCACGGCGCCGACCGAAGUUCUUUGGAACAGGACGUCAUAGAGGGUGAGAACCCCGUAUGUGUUCGGCGCGCAGUUGUCUAUGUGAAGCUCCUUCGAAGAGUCGAGUUGUUUGGGAAUGCAGCUCUAAAUGGGAGGUAAAUUCCUUCUAAAGCUAAAUACUGGCCAGAGACCGAUAGCGCACAAGUAGAGUGAUCGAAAGAUGAAAAGCACUUUGAAAAGAGAGUUAAAAAGUACGUGAAAUUGUUUGAAAGGGAAGCGCUUGCGAUCAGACUCGUCCGCAGAGGUAGCGUUCGCCGUCAGGCGGGCGUAUACGCCUCUGCGGCCCGGGCCAGCAUCGGUUUGGGCGACCGGGAUAAAGGCUCUAGGANUGUAACCCUCUUCGAAGGUGUUAUANCUAAAGUGCAAUGCGGCCAGCCCGGACGAAGUCCGC